AAGAAAUGACAGGAAAUUUAUGUACAAAUUUUGUUAUAAUUUCCAGAACAGUACAGACCUUAGUUUUCCUCAAGACACCUGUGAAUUUAAUGUUUGUCUAAAGAAUCAGACUGACCUAUCAUAUAUUUCCAGUCCUGGAGAUGAGAAUCAAGAUACAUGUAAAUUUUUGAUCCUCAUUAUUUCACCAGUGACCAGUGCUAAGUCGAGUCAGAUGAUGUUGAAGUUCAACUAACUGGUGAUCAUGAAAUUCAGGAGUGAGAAGGUGGAGAAGCUGAUCUACACAAAUAUGUUUUUGGCUGUAAGAAGAAUCCUGGUCAUAGCCAGUUUAUAUCUGUAGAUACAUUUAAAUUGAA